UGGGGAAUAUUGCGCAAUGGGCGAAAGCCUGACGCAGCGACGCCGCGUGGGGGAUGAAGCUUCUCGGAGUGUAAACCCCUUUCGGCCCGGACGAAAAAUCCCGCAAGGGAUCUGACGGUACGGGUAUAAGAAGCCCCGGCUAACUACGUGCCAGCAGCCGCGGUAAGACGUAGGGGGCCAGCGUUGCUCGGAAUAACUGGGCGUAAAGGGUUCGUAGGCGGUGUGGCAAGUCGGGAGUGAAAUCCUGAGGCUUAACUUCAGGACUGCUUCCGAAACUGCCAUGCUCGAGUGCGGGAGAGGCGAGUGGAAUUGCAGGUGUAGCGGUGAAAUGCGUAGAUAUCUGCAGGAACACCAGUGGCGAAAGCGGCUCGCUGGACCGCAACUGACGCUGAGGAACGAAAGCUAGGGGAGCAAACAGG
rnacentral:rRNA from 1 species